rnacentral:rRNA from 1 species
UCUGCUCAAGAUUUUUUAAAUUGCUGGGUAUUUUGACUAUACAAAGGUAUUGAAAUAAGAUUUUAAUUGAAUGCUAAGAGAAUGGAAUUUCAGAAAAUAACUUUUUUAAUAUUAAAAAUUAAAAUUUUUUUAAUUUGUGCAGAAACAAUUAUAACAAUUAAGGACAAGAAGCCCUAAGAAUUUAAAAUUUAAUUAAUAUUUUUUUAUUAAUUAAAUUUUCUGGGGCGGUUAAGAAAUAUUAAAAACUUUUGAAAUAAU